CCUCUUUCUUUGUGGCAAGAGAACGAUACCUAAAACACAGAGAACACCCGAAAAAAAAAAAAGAUCUAGAUGCAUGUCUCAGAAGAAGAACCGACCUGCUUUAAAUGCGAGGAGAGCAGAUGGGAAGAGGUUGAAGGUCUAAAAGAUCUGAUAUCGAUAUUGGACAAGCACUGCUCCCAGCAAAAUCAAAGCUCUCAGCAGGCAUCUUCUCUCUCCAUGUAUGAUUUUGUCUCUCUACCAAUGGGUUACAUGUAAGUGCAAACAUGCCAUGCUGUGUGCCGGGGAUAAUAAUGAAGAUCCUCUUUGAUUGUGAGGAUGGCAAAGGUUCAGCAUAUCCUGAGCUCAAACGAAGUAGAGAUAUUAUCCAUAAAGG